UGCACCGAUAUUUUCCCCUUGGAAGACGGAGCGGAGCAGAGACGAACCCCUCCAAAGCGCACGCCCACACGCACGGGGCACGGCCCUCCGCGCCGCCGGCCGCCGGCCGUGUCCGCCUCACCGACCGACCAGGUGGAUCAGCAAGUUCGUGAAGAUACGCUAGUCCUCUAGCUGAGCCAAGAGCAAUCCUGAGCCUCUUCUUCCAGUCCAGUUCUUCAGUUCAUCAAAAGAGAAGAACCUGGCUCCUUUGAGCUGUGGAGCACCUCCACUAUCUUUUUGAGCAACUCCCCAUGAAGCUUAAAUUUAGAUGCAAAUGGAGUAAAAUCAGUAAAGUUUCAGCAAUCUUCAAAAGUUUGUCAGUUUUCCCUUUAUCACUGCUGUGACUGUGAGUAUCUGUUAGCUAAGCGCUUGCUGUUAGAACCAUUAGUAUGAACGGUUGUAAGCUUGGACACCUAACAGUGGGGUUGCAAGAAAAAAA